rnacentral:rRNA from 1 species
AUUGAACGCUGGCGGCAGGCCUAACACAUGCAAGUCGAACGGUAACAGGAAGCAGCUUGCUGCUUUGCUGACGAGUGGCGGACGGGUGAGUAAUGUCUGGGCAACUGCCUGAUGGAGGGGGAUAACUACUGGAAACGGUAGCUAAUACCGCAUAACGUCUCAAGACCAAUGAGGGGGGCCUUAGGGCCUCUUGCCAUCGGAUGCGCCCAGAUGGGAUUAGCUAGUAGGUGGGGUAACGGCUCACCUAGGCGACGAUCCCUAGCUGGUCUGAGAGGAUGACCAGCCACACUGGAACUGAGACACGGUCCAGACUCCUACGGGAGGCAGCAGUGGGGAAUAUUGCACAAUGGGCGCAAGCCUGAUGCAGCCAUGCCGCGUGUAUGAAGAAGGCCUUCGGGUUGUAAAGUACUUUCAGCGGGGAGGAAGGGAGUAAAGUUAAUACCUUUGCUCAUUGACGUUACCCGCAGAAGAAGCACCGGCUAACUCCGUG